rnacentral:rRNA from 1 species
GGACCCGCACAAGCGGUGGAUGAUGUGGAUUAAUUCGAUGCAACGCGAAAAACCUUACCUACCCUUGACAUGGCAGGAACCUUGGAGAGAUCUGAGGGUGCUCGAAAGAGAACCUGCACACAGGUGCUGCAUGGCUGUCGUCAGCUCGUGUCGUGAGAUGUUGGGUUAAGUCCCGCAACGAGCGCAACCCUUGUCAUUAGUUGCUACGCAAGAGCACUCUAAUGAGACUGCCGGUGACAAACCGGAGGAAGGUGGGGAUGACGUCAAGUCCUCAUGGCCCUUAUGGGUAGGGCUUCACACGUCAUACAAUGGUACAUACAGAGGGCCGCCAACCCGCGAGGGGGAGCUAAUCCCAGAAAGUGUAUCGUAGUCCGGAUUGUAGUCUGCAACUCGACUACAUGAAGUUGGAAUCGCUAGUAAUCGCGGAUCAGCAUGUCGCGGUGAAUACGUUCCCGGGUCUU